rnacentral:rRNA from 1 species
UGGGGAAUUUUGGACAAUGGGCGAAAGCCUGAUCCAGCAAUGCCGCGUGUGUGAAGAAGGCCUUCGGGUUGUAAAGCACUUUUGUCCGGAAAGAAAUCCUUGGCUCUAAUACAGUCGGGGGAUGACGGUACCGGAAGAAUAAGCACCGGCUAACUACGUGCCAGCAGCCGCGGUAAUACGUAGGGUGCAAGCGUUAAUCGGAAUUACUGGGCGUAAAGCGUGCGCAGGCGGUUUGCUAAGACCGAUGUGAAAUCCCCGGGCUCAACCUGGGAACUGCAUUGGUGACUGGCAGGCUAGAGUAUGGCAGAGGGGGGUUAGAAUUCCACGUGUAGCAGUGAAAUGCGUAGAGAUGUGGAGGAAUACCGAUGGCGAAGGCAGCCCCCAUGGGCCAAUACUGACGCUCAUGCACGAAAGCGUGGGGAGCAAACAGGAUUAGAUACCCUGGUAGUCCACGCCCUAAACGAUGUCAACUAGUUGUUGGGGAUUCAUUUCCUUAGUAACGUAGCUAACGCGUGAAGUUGACCGCCUGGGGAGUACGGUCGCAAGAUUAAACUC